rfam:Myotis lucifugus cont2.13314, whole genome shotgun sequence.
UAAAAGGAUUUUUUAAAAACCACACUAUUAACACAUCAAAAAUAAAU